rnacentral:lncRNA from 10 species
AAAUCAAAUCUAGUUAAAAAUAACUAAUCAAAGAUGAAUAUUUAGUGUAGAGGAACAUGGAUAUGGAUAAACUGUAGGAUAUUUUAUUUAUCUUUUUCUUUCAGCAAAGAUCUAACCAAAAUUAGAGAAAUGAUGUGUUUUAUUCUAGAACCAUCACAAUACAAACAAUAAUAUGUUGUUUUUCAUCUUGUAUUGGAUAAACACUAUUAAUCCCAUUAAUCCAUUCCUCUUUGCUUCUUCAAUUAAAAUUCCGUGUAUUAUAUAAAUACCUCCCUCUACCCUCUGCAGUGUAGGAGAAUCAAGGAAAUCUCAUCCCACCUCCCGAAACAGAGAUGUACCCUGCAUGUACCUUGCCAAUGAUGGCAACUUCUUUUCCUUUGUCGAGAUAUAAUAGAAACCCCAGGUUGACACCAUUUAAUUCAUGAUAUCACUUCCAGAUUGAUAUUGGUGGAAAGGUGACUUAAUCUGGCUAAAUCAGAUGCAAGAGAUGGACUUGUGUUCUAUUAUUAGAAUAUAAAUUUCUUGUCUUUCUGUAUAUGAAUAGCAAAGCAUGCUGCAACAAUUGUUCUUAUCAGCAAAGAAAAAUUCUGAUAAGCACCUGGAAAUACAGCACCCUGAGGAAGCCCUCAUUCCUCAGGACUUGAUAAAAGAAUUCAUUAUUAUUAAAGCAAGUUAAGAGCCAGGAUUACUGUUACUUGUCUUGAAAGCAUGUUGACAUUUCCAUUGUUCCAUAUGCCUUGUCAGAAUGAUCUCUGGCUUAGGGAAAACUUUUCAGGUAUCUGCUCUAGCACACUGGUGUGAAAAAUGUGUAAAGGGAGAGGUGAUAGCUUGAUCCUUAGUGCUGUUAGACAUCACGUGGGUCUUAGAUAGCUCGAAUCAUCAGGUCACUUUUUUCAGCCAUGAGUAGUAUGCUCUACAGCAGUUAUUAACUUAUAUAAAUGCUAUAGAUUUAAAAAUGGCAGUGAAGUGCUAAUUCAGAGUAUCUGAUUUAUAAUUCAGAGCAAUUCAAUGGGUCAUAGUUAAGUUGGCAGGAGUAUUCUAGUUAUCUCUCCAAAUAUAAUAAUUUUAAAUAUUGUCCACACAAGGAAAAAACCUAACAUCUUUCUCCAUAUCCUUAAAACUCCAGAUAUGAAUUUGAUCAUGCAGUGUUUGUCUUUCUGUGCCUGGCUUAUUUCACUUAACAAAAUGUCCUCCAACUUCAUCCACAUUGCUAAAAAUAACAGCAUUUUAUGGCUGAAUAUUGUUCUGGUGUGUGGGGGGGUGGAUAGAUAGAUGAUAAAUAGAUAGAUGAUAGAUGACAGAUAGAUAGAUAGACAAAUAGAUAGAUAGAUAGAUAUUUAUACACCACAUUUUCUUUAUCCAUUUAUUGUUAGAUGAGCAUUUAGGCAGAUUCCAUAUUGAAUGAUGCUUCAAUAUCCCUGGGUGCAGAUGUCUCUUUGACAUACUAAUUUCAUUUUUUUUGAUUACGUACCCAGUAGUGGGAUUGCUGGGUAAUACAAUAGUUCUCUUUUUUAUUUUUUGUGGAACCUCCAUACUGCUUUUCAUAACAGCUAUACUAUUUUAUAUUCCCACCAACAGUGUAUAACAUUCCUCUUUCUCCACAUUAUUGUUUCCAUUUGUUAUAUUUUGUCUUCUUGAUAAUAUCCAUCAUUUAAACUGGGGUAAGGUAAUAGCUCAUUGUGGUUUUGUUUUGCAUUUUUCUGAGGCUUAAUGAUGUUGAGCAUUUCUUUAUAUAUUUUUGGCCAUUUGUAUGUCUUCUUUUGUCCAUUUUUUAAUCAACUUUUUCUUUUGCUAUUGAGUUUUUUGAGUUCCUUAUAUAUUCUGGAUAUUAAACCUUGUUGAAUACAUAGUUUGCAAACAUCUUAUCCUGUUCUGUAAUUGUCUCUUCGUUUUAUUGAUUGAUAAGAAGUAGGUUAAUUGUGCUAUAUAAGUGCAAACUUUGUCUAAAGGAGAAUAUGUGUUCUUUGAAGACAAAUGUCCAUUUGUCAAGCUCCCCAGUACUUUCUUUUAUGUAGGAAUGCCAAUAUAGGGCCUUUCCGUUUUGAAGCUGUUUGUGAGUAGAUUUUUCUCUUCCCACCACCUGGAGGCUAAAAUGUAAACCAGAGACCCAAGAAUAGCCACUCAUUCCUUGCAUUUUUAACCUUGCAAGGUAAGAAGUAGGCAGAGAGUCUGAAAUUACUCCUGUCAGAUGGAUAGGUUUUUGGAAUCCAAUGGUAAAGUGGGAAGUGACAAGCUAAAGCAGAGCCCAGCAGCAUUCCGGAAAAUGCCUGUGCAUGCUUUGCUGGCAGUGGCCAGCGGUCAUGACUGACAGGACAAUAGCCACAUGAAAAGCAGAACUUCCUUUUUCUGAUAUUGGUUCUGACUUGCUCUCUGAAUCCUGCCUGAGCCUGGUUCACCUACUUUUUUGUCAAUUCUAAAAGCUGUGUUGUGCUUUUCCAACGCAUUCAUUUUUGCUUGCUUUAAAUUCCAAGUAAUUUCUAUUGUCUUUAACCAACUGCCUACCUAAAAUAAUUAUUAAAUAUAUAGCUAAAACACUAAAUUAAAUAAACUUACAUUGUUUUCCUUGCUGUAAGAAUUCUCUAAGCCUUUCUUAUUUUAAUAUGCAUCAUGAACCUCCAGUUGAGGCAAUGUGCAACACAUUUUGAGAGACAUGAUCUACCUGUUGGAAUCUUAACAUUUAGAACAGAUAUAUUGAUCAGUGUAUAAUUUUUGGAUUAUCAAAGAUGGGAAUAAAAUUGAGCUAUAAUACAUAAAAUAAGAGGAUUGAUAUAUGUUUGUUUUUUCACUCCCCAUCUCACCUGCUACUUCUUUAUGGAUAACAGUUAUCCCACUUGAUGGGGUUUUUCUCUUUUCAUCCAUUACUUUUUUAUUUAAAGUAUUCCCUCUCCUAGGAUGUAAGUUUCUAUAGACUGAAAUGUUGUUAUUUAAUGGUAAUAAGCCUUAUUUUCAGGCUGCUUUACAGAAUUUUGGCUUUGUCUUUUGUUUUCUUCAUUGUACUUUUCUUACUCCACUCAGAAUUUGUUGACCUGCUUAAAUCUGCUUAUAUCUGUCUUCAAUCAGUACUAAAAACAUUCUCUAUUAUUUCCUUAGUUAUUGCCUUUGUCUCCCUUUUCCUGGUAAAGUUUAGACAUAUAUUAACGUUUAACUCUAUCCUUCAUAUCUUGAAACUUUUCUUCAAUAAUUUAUUUUCUUUCUUCCUACUGUACUUCAUUAAUUUUCUAGUAAUUCUCUGUUACUUCUAGCAGGUAUUUCCUUUCUAAAUCUACCAUGAUCAUAUUUGUAUUUUCCUGUGUGCAUCUUUAAGCGUAUGUUUUGUUCUUUAACUUCUGUCUGAUAAUUAUAUUAUUUAAAUUGUUUUUCUUGUCUGUUGAUUUGUUUCUGGAUGUUCUGUUAUCCUUAACAAUAUACUGAUUCUCUGUGUAUGUGUGUCUCUCUCUCCAUAUCUCUCUAAACACAUGCACACAAACUCUCUCUCUCUCUCUCUCAUGUACACUAUAUUGCAUACAAAUGAUUUACCAAAAUAAUUGACUUUAUUUUUAAUACAGACCUACAAGUUAGUUACUUUCAUUUUCACGUUACAGUUGAGGAAACUGAGACUCAAAGGGAAAAAUGACUUGGCCAAGUUUAUACACCCAAUUAGUGUCAGGAUAGUUUAAGAUUACCUUGUUGUCUACUAUGGAGAUAAGUUCCUCCAGAAGUUUUACUUAUGCAAGCAUUACCCAUAUCAGAUCAUCUUAAAUCAGGGUGAAAAUAUGAGUAUCUGAACAACUCAGAUUUGGUCCCAGACUUCAAGUAUGCUCAAGAGCUGGUUCUUGUUUUCUCCUUCAUUGGAGUAUAUUAACCUUAUGAUUCUAGCUUAGAAUAGCAAAAGUCUCUGGGCAGACUCUCUAUAUUUCGUCAGCCAUAGACUAUAAUUUCUGUCUUUUUCAUCUGAGAAUUCUAUCUGAACAAAAGUUAACUUGGCUUGCAAGGAAAAGUUCCCCAAAUUCAGUGAUAGUUUUCCUCUUUGAGCUCCCAUCUUCUUUAACUCUUAUCAUGUUUUUCUGUUAGCUCUGUUCUGCUUCUUCGUUUGACUUGCAUUGAAUUGGGUAACUUUUUUUUUCCUCUUCCCGAUGUAUAUAAAUGACUUAAAGUAUAUCAAUAUCACUAUAUUCUCUAUAACACACAAAUAACUAGCAUAAAUAACUUGCAUUUAGACAGUAUAGUCUAAAUACAAGUUCCCUGUCCUAUUUUGUAGGUCUUUGAAUGUUGUUUAAAAAAAUACAACUAAGACAUGUUAAAUUUCACUAAGUUUAUUUGACCAAGAAAAAGGUUUGAGAACUAGGCACCAUCCCAGAACAAAGAUUGUUCAGAGUGACUCCACAUCCAGAGUGGUGAGAUGUAUUUAUAACCAGAACAUAGAAAAUUAUAUUCAGAGUUUCCCUGAUUGGUGCAGUUCAAUAUUUGCCUUAUUUGGGCAUAAUUUGGCAGCAUUCAGCCUGGGAUUGACUAAGGGUUUGGCUCCUAUGAUUGGUUGAGGCUCAGUUGCUUGGUUACAAGUCUAUACAUCUACAUUAGCUUACAACUUAUUUACACAUUAAGUUAGAGUACAGUCACUAUGUAUGGAUGCCGCUUUGGGCCAAAUUUAAUUAGGCAAGUACAAUGGGCACUUUGAGCCAAACUUAACUCAGCUUAACAAUGUUCUCUAGUAUUUGUUUUACUUUGUUGUAUUUGUUUGAUUCAAUAUAGCAAAUGCUUCUUUAGACUUACCCACAUGUUUAUAUAUAUUACUGUUUUGCCUCCAUUGAACAUGCCUUCUACUUCCUAAUUUGUGCCAGAAUUGACUAGUAGAUGCUAUGAAUACAUCAUGCUCUUUCGCCCAUUUGGAACACUCAGGUAUGUCUGUACUCUUAGUUCAUCUAUUCAUCAUUGCUUCUACAGUUCCCUCAUGCUUUAAAAAAUAUGUGGCUUUUAUAAUUUAUCCAGCUUUUUCUUGUCAUUUUAAUAACAGUAGUCUUAUACAACUACUACAUUCAUCCCAGAAGUAGAAGCAAACUAUUAUAAUCCCAUUAUUUUUAUUCUUACUAUUCUCUUUUCAGAAUUUCUUUUAGAUAUUCCUUGGAUAGUUUUAUUCAAUCCUCCAUGUCUUUCAGCUUAUCUUAUGUUCUAUCUUUUGGUUCAUAUUCUGCAUUCUGGAUAAUUCUUCAUCUUCAUUUUCUAGUUUGUUGAUAUUCCUUUUGGUGACUAUAAGCUGCUCUUUAAAAUGGUCAAUAAUGCCUAAGAUGUUUAUUAUUUUGCCCUUUGCAGAAAAAAAUUUUCAGCUUUUGCUCUGGAAUGAUUUUGCAUCUCUUCCACCAAACUUCCAGUGUAACAAUGGCCAGAAAAUAAUCUAUAUGUUAAUUUGUUAAUUUGAUGGUUCAUGGUUCAAGGCUGUGCAAUUUAUAAGUUUGAAGUCAAACAACACAUGAUGGAUAAUCCUGAUGUUACAGAUUCUCAGGGGAGAAUAUAUAUUUGUUUUUUCUACCAAUUGUUCUAGUAUUUACAGACAAACUUCUUAAUUAUACUGGGUUGGUUAAAAAGUAUUUUUCUUUACUCUUUCAAUCUAGGUCCAGCUAUGCAUCACCCCUUCGCUGAUGAGCCUUAAGAAAAUCCAAAUUUAUAAAUUGCUGGGUCCAUCUCUCUUGCCAUCCAGAAAAGUCAGAGCAACUGGUCUUGCUGGUUUUAAGUGUUGCCUGUGUUUCUGGCAUUGGUCACAAAGCCUACUGCCUGCUAAUCGGCAAGUGGACCUGUUUCUCUAACAAUGGCCCAAAACUUCACAAUAUCAAAGGAGAAAUCAUUGCCAGCAAAAGCAUUUCCGGGUAGUAGGAAAGAAUACAAGGGAAUAACAUUAGUCC